UACGGAGGGUGCGAGCGUUGUCCGGAUUUCUUGGGUUUAAAGGGUGCGUAGGUGGCCUAUUUAGUCAGUGGUGAAAUACAGCCGCUUAACGGUUGAGGUGCCAUUGAUACUGAUGGGCUUGAAAUAAUUGGAGGCUGCCGGAAUGGAUGGUGUAGCGGUGAAAUGCAUAGAUAUCAUCCAGAACACCGAUUGCGAAGGCAGGUGGCUACGAUUGGUUUGACACUGAGGCACGAAAGCAUGGGGAGCAAACAGG
rnacentral:rRNA from 1 species